CCUCCCUUUUCCCAGCAAACCCCACUUGUCCCUUAUUCCAUUUAAAUGUCACUUCCUCCCGGAAGCUUUCUCUCCAAAUCCUGGACUGGUAACUCCCCUUAAGCCACAGCUUUCACAACAACUUUGCUCAAAGCAGCACACAAAAGAGAUGCGUUGCCGUAACAUCUAACAAAAGAGAUUUGGAGAGGCUACCGCAUCAGAGAAGAUCUGCCAGGGCCCCGGGGACACACCUUCCACCGCCUGACACGCAGGCACACAGUGAGACGAACACAGAAUAAGCAGGAGAGGCUAGAAAUUUUGGAUGGACAGCAACAGAUGGAAUAUUUAUUUAUUUUAAAUGCUUUUUUCUGGGAGAGCCACAUGAGAUGUGUAUCUUAUUUCCCGAGAAGUCUCCGGGGAAACAGCUGCCAUGCGGUUUCAUCCCAGAACUCUUUAGUACAGUACAAACAGUAUAAUGGCGGACAGACAGCCUUCACUGCCGCCCACAACGGUACAGAGCAGCCACGACUGCCCUCCGCUCUACCCUGUGACUUCUUCUUAAUGUGAUGUGUUCCCUACAAUAAAACAGGGCAGUGACCUUUGGGUAUUAAAUCAGGUUUCCUGCUCCAGGACUGUGAUCAAAACAUUCUCAUGCUGUUUUUUUCCUUCCGAAUGGAACCAAAGUGCUUUAAGAAAAUUUACCGAAUCCUUGAAAAACUAAUGAUGCCUUUCUAGCCUCAGAUUACUCGUGCUUGGAACCAAAGAAUCCUUAUUACGAAAGAAUUUACAACCAGAUGUGAUGUUGAGGAUAAAGAAGCCCUGAGACAGAGGUCUCCAGCUAAACUGCACCUGCAUUCCUGACCCACAGAAGCUGUGAGAUGGUAAAUAUUUGCUGUUUUAACAUGCUAAGUUUAAGAGUAAUUUGUUACAUUUCAAUUGGUAACUAAUAU